GAUGAACGCUAGCGACAGGCUUAACACAUGCAAGUCGAGGGGCAGCAUGAUUUGUAGCAAUACAGAUUGAUGGCGACCGGCGCACGGGUGAGUAACGCGUAUGCAACUUACCUAUCAGAGGGGGAUAGCCCGGCGAAAGUCGGAUUAAUACCCCAUAAAACAGGGGUCCCGCAUGGGAAUAUUUGUUAAAGAUUCAUCGCUGAUAGAUAGGCAUGCGUUCCAUUAGGCAGUUGGCGGGGUAACGGCCCACCAAACCGACGAUGGAUAGGGGUUCUGAGAGGAAGGUCCCCCACAUUGGUACUGAGACACGGACCAAACUCCUACGGGAGGCAGCAGUGAGGAAUAUUGGUCAAUGGCCGAGAGGCUGAACCAGCCAAGUCGCGUGAAGGAAGAAGGAUCUAUGGUUUGUAAACUUCUUUUAUAGGGGAAUAAAGUGGAGGACGUGUCCUUU
rnacentral:rRNA from 1 species